GAAUUUUUUUACUGUAGCCUUUUGGAUGUAAUUUAAUUGUCAAUUAUCUUGAUUCUUGUGGAGCUUUUUUUUUUUUUACUAUUUUUACUUUUUACUAUAAACGCUACUCUUAUUGGAGCACUGCCUGUCUAUUAAUUCCCGCUUAAAAAAGUGCCAUAAACAUAAUAAAAAGCCUCAAGUUCAUGAACAAGCCCCGCCCCUCUGUACAUGUGAAGCACAUGGCCCCGCCCCCCUCCUGCAUGCUACCAUAUUAUGAUGAUGGGCGUUGAUUUCCGGUAUUUACCGUCUGGAUAUUCAGGUUCAACAGAGUGAGUGUUUUAUGUGUGUGUGUGUGUGUGUGUUGUAUGAAUGUUGAGUGUGUGUGGGAGUUUGUGUGUGUGUGUGUGUGUGUGUGUGUGUGUGUGUCUGCAGUGCUUGUAGCAUUCGUCAUGUUAAGCCUUGUGGUUAUGUGUUUGUGAAGUGGACAAAUGCCAACUUUCCAAUUGUCUCUGAAAUUGUAAGCCGCUGGGAUUAUUAUUUUUUUUUUUUCAUAUUAUGGAUCUAAAGUGAACUUUAACGGGGUAAAGUUAGAUUACUUUUUUAAACAAAAGGCUUGUUCUUUCAUCCAGUACCGUUCAGAUCAGUGAUCAUUGCCAUAUGCAGAAAGCACUGCAUGUCGCAAUGUUUGCACAGGACCCAUGUGAGCGACCGGAUUUCAUCCCUGUCGGUCUGUUUCUUUGCAAGAUAUCAUAACCAAGUGAAAUGGAUUUUAAGGAUUAUGUAUUUAAUGAUCCAGAUCUGGAUCUUUCUGCCAUUGGACGAUUGUAACAUUAUACUGUAUUCAUGUGCUGAUGGGAGAACCCCCAACAGCCACCUGGCAUUUUAUUUUGAGACUUGUUGCUGGUGGCAGUGCACACUCUACUGGGGAGCUUCUAGUUUUUGGUGGAAGUGGUUUUGCAUAUUAAAACAGGUAGAACGUUUCCCCCAUUUUUUUUAGGCCGACUUUACAUAUUUUUGAACCAACAUUUUCAUUACAUUACAUUGUCGUCAUUCCAUCCUUGGUUCAUCUAGACAGUAUAAAAAAAUAUAGAACCUCAGAGUUAAGCGUGGCAUUUCCAUCAAUGGUGGUGUUGAUGGAGCACUACAAAAUAAAGUUGCCAAAUUAUCAGAAUACAUUGAACAGCAGAAAGCUACCCUGAUCAAUGCAAUGACUUAUUGUAAAGAAAUCAUUUGACAUUUUUGGAACUAAGCUUGUUUGUUUUCUCUCUUUCUAGAGGUUGAUGAGGAGAUCAAUUCCACUUGGCUUAGCGUAGCCCAACCAGAAAUGGUUCCUGCCCGUUACUUCCCAAAAAAAAAAAAAAAAUUGUUAUUUUUACAUUUUGGUUUUUGUGCCAAUUAAACUUUAUGCUAAGUUAUGCUAAUAACCUGCUGGCUCUAUCUUCAUAUUUAUUGCACAGACACAAGAGUGGUAUCGAUCUACUCAUUGAACUUUAAACAAAGCAAAUAGGUGUAUUUACCAAAAUGGCAAACCAUUCCUCUUAAAUUUGAAUCAGUGGGCUGUCAGGUUAAAUGUCUAAUACUUGUAAGCUUAUUUACUUAGCAUUAUGAGCAUUCUUGAAAAACUCAUAAAAACUCUCUUGAACUACAGCUUGAAAACUUCAUUUGCCUCAACAUACACCAGCUCUGGGUCAGUGCAACAGUGCCAAAAUGGAAAGUACUAGUGAGCAUGUCAUAACCCGUGUUAUCGUAGUGUAAGAGAGUAAAUUGCCCACACACAGAUGAAAAACCCCAAUGCUGCACAGCUCCAACAAUCAGAGGUUGAUAUCUUCUUAAACUGACUGUACAUGGCAUUAGCAAAAUCAGCAAACAUAUCUGUAUCCAUUCCAAAUGCAAGAAGAAAAACACUUGUAGUCUAACACUUUGUUGCAUCUCCAUUGACAUUGACACUCCAAGGGCCACUGACCAAGAGUCGGUAUUUGACAAGUUGGGAGUGAGAACGGGUUGGUAAAUCAGAGUAAUCACUGCUAUUGAAAUAUAAUGCAAAUGUCUAUUGAAACUUGAAUGGGGAGUUUAAUCCCUAAUCGUCUGUUACACAUGGAUUUGGCUAGCGUCUCGUUCCCACAGCUGUGUUACAUGUCACCAUCACUGGCAUCCCUCAGUGUGAUUCUAUGUUUCUUACUCGACCAACUUGGUGUGUAUUUGUACGACUCAAAAGACUGUCAAAUUAGUCUUACUUUUUUCAUUCAAAGGCCAACAUCUGUCCAAUAUACAGUCCAGUUUAUUGGCAUCUACGCCGAUUUUCAAAAUUCAUACAUGUUAUUCCUAUGGUCUAAGACAGUCCAAAAAUAUUAGUAAACAUGAACAACUCUCUCCCAAAUCCAAAAACUAGAGUGCUAAAACUCAAACCUGUGAUGUCAUAGGGUAUAAAGUCUGGAACUGCUCCAUAGACAAUGUAUUGGGAGAGAUGUUACAGAUGACCCUGAGAGCACCCAGAGGAAUGUUCUGAAUAUGGGUACUUCAUAGACUAUAUAUUUAUAUAGAUGUCGACGCGUCUUCACUUCCUCCUACUGUACAGAAGUGAAGCCGAAAUAUCUCAGAUAAGGGAGUUGCCAUCUUGAGAUUUUGAAGUCAUUUGGAGCCAGAGUCUGCACAGUAGUUAUAGGGGUAUCGAGGUCACCCGCCCAAACCAAUCGCGAUACGAGCACGGCCGGCGCUUGCAUCGAGAGAGUUUCAACCCCUUUUUAUAGCAUCAACUAACUAAUUAAAACCAAACUUAGCAGAUAAAUUAACACUUGAACAUACAUCAGCGUGAUAAGAACUACCUAAAAUGACAAAAAAACAUCUUUGGGAAAAAUGUGUUGUACUUUGACUUUUUAGUUUGGCCCAUGUCCCAUCCGCUAACAUGAAAGGGGCGGGCUUUAUGGCCUUAACUUCAACCAGCCACCAGGGGGCGAUCAAGAUGUUUUUGCUUCACUUUUGGGGAGCUGUCAUCUCGUCCAUCUUUAUAUACAGUCUAUGGUACAUUUUCUGUUUAAUAAUUGAGAGCACUACAAUACAAUAAAGCUUAUUUGAAAACAAACAUCCUGUGGGUCUACAAAUUCAGCCUCAAAUUCAUUGUCUAUGGAGCAGCUCUAGACUUUAUACCCUAUGACAUCACAAGUUGGAGUUUUAGCGCUCUACUUUUUGGAUUUGGGAGAGAGUUGUCCAUGUUUACUAAUAUUUUUUGGACUAUCUUAGACCAUAGAAAUAAAAUGUUUGAAAAUGGGUGUAGUUCCCCUUUAAAGCUAGAUGAGUUUAAUCCCUCCAGGAAGUGCAAAACAUUGAAAUUAUAUUUAGAUACUUACACGAGGUAAGACAGUAGAAAAUCUAAUUAUCUACGACUGGUGUGGAUUUGAUUCAGCGCUGGUUGUAAUAUCCUUUAUUCCUACCCUAUCUCUUGGGUGCUUAUUAGUAAUAAUCUCAUUGCUCUAUGUCUGAUAAUGUUUAAUGCCUUGUAAAACAAAGCGCUUUCUUUGUGCUGUGACUUAAAAGGCAUUCAUAUAUUCAAUCAGUGUGUGACUAAGGAUGGGUGUGUGUGCUUGUUUGCAUGGUUUCGGGUAUUAAUGUGUGUUUUACUCCACCUUUACCUUGCUUUCCUUUCACGUACUGUACACACCUGUCUUUUGAACUCUUGGUUUACCUUUACAUUGUGCUACUGAGCUUUGGGUCAACAACACUCCUUAAACAAAGGCAGCUGUACAAAGAAAACCCACAUGAAUACGUUCACACUUGCAUGUAUGCACACUGACAAGUAUUGUGUAACCACUCGUUCCUCAUACUAAUGCAUGUACAGUAAGAAAUAGUCAUUGAAGCUGCUCUGCAUCACAGCCAGUGGUGCUCAAUGGUAUACAAUGUUCUGCUAGAUGUGACCUUUUUUUUUUUAAUGUUGUCAUAAAAAUUCACUUCAUUCCAGAGAAAGUUAACAAUGUC